rnacentral:rRNA from 1 species
AGCAGCCGCGGUAAUUCCAGCUCCAAUAGCGUAUAUUAAAGUUGUUGCAGUUAAAAAGCUCGUAGUUGAAUUUCGGGACCAAUCUGCCGGUCGUGCCUCCGGUAUGCACUGGUUUUAUUGAUUUCUCCCUUCUGACGAAUCAUGAUGUCAUUAAUUUGGUGUCAUGGGGAAUCAGGACUGUUACUUUGAAAAAAUUAGAGUGUUUAAAGCAGGCUCACGCUUGAAUACAUUAGCAUGGAAUAAUGAAAUAGGACGUUUGACCCUAUUUUGUUGGUUUCUAGGAUCGACGUAAUGAUUAAUAGGGAUAGUUGGGGGCAUUAGUAUUCAAUUGUCAGAGGUGAAAUUCUUGGAUUUAUUGAAGACUAACUACUGCGAAAGCAUUUGCCAAGGAUGUUUUCAUUAAUCAAGAACGAAAGUUAGGGGAUCGAAGACGAUCAGAUACCGUCGUAGUCUUAACCAUAAACUAUGCCGACUAGGGAUCGGAUGAUGUUAAUUUUUUAAUGACUCAUUCGGCGCCUUA